rnacentral:rRNA from 1 species
UACGUAGGGUGCGAGCGUUAAUCGGAAUUACUGGGCGUAAAGCGUGCGCAGGCGGUUCGUUAAGUCAGCUGUGAAAGCCCCGGGCUUAACCUGGGAAUGGCGGUUGAAACUGGCGGACUUGAAUCUGGCAGAGGGGGGUGGAAUUCCACGUGUAGCAGUGAAAUGCGUAGAGAUGUGGAGGAACACCGAUGGCGAAGGCAGCCCCCUGGGCUGAGAUUGACGCUCAGGCACGAAAGCGUGGGGAGCAAACAGG